GGAAAGUCUAUAUUGACAGUUGAAGGAGCUUAUACUUGUUGAGCUUCCAGACAGUGUGUCCUGGUCAUAUAUUUUCCAGAAUUAUGAAAAGUGCUUCAGAAUCAAAUGUUACCCUUGAGAGCCCAGACUUUAAUAUGAACUACUAUUUGCUACAAAUAAUUUUUAUGGAAUGCCACUUCUUUUGUCUAGAAAAUAAUCAAAACUCACAAAUUGAUUAUUUUCAAAGCGUAGUUACAACCACACAGAGACAGACUUGAAUUCAGGAGUCAAUGCACACGUGGAAGAGUAUUGACUAUGAUGUCAAAUAAUUAUUUACUAGUACCAAUCAAGCAUUAAAGAUUCAUUACCCGAUUUUACUCUGGUGUUACCAUUAUGAGUAAAUGCUAAUAUCACACACUUACUACCAGUUUCUCACUACCAAGAACUAAUAAAGGAUAUUAUUUUGGUGACAACUCUUAGAAUACAAAUAGUGAACUUGUUUAUUUUACAAAUAAAGUUUAAUAUAAAUAGGGGGGAAAGUAAAAACAAUAGAAAAGGCCCCUCGAGGGGAAAACAUUAUCAUUGCCAAAGACAAAGGCUUAAAAUGGUUAUUAAAUUUCCCAAACAGAAUGUUAAUCAAGCUAGGUUAACCUCAUUUUGGACAAAUAUAGGGAAAUUUCCAGCAAUCAGAGCAGGGGCAAUUUUGGAGACAGCAAGGUUAACUGGAUAGUUGAAGGGUGGUAUGGCUAAAACAACCCCCAAUGGAAUCUGCAAUUCAUAGUUGCAAUCUAUUUUCAACGAAAUAUUCUUUUCUAAAUACAAAACUGACAACUAUAAUCAAUUGAGAUGUUUUUCAAAAAGGACAAAUAUUAGUAAAGAAAGGAGGAAAAAUAAAAACAUAAAAGUGGAAACUUUUAGUCAAACGGAGGUAAUAAUAUAUUGAAAUCAUUGAAUCAUUUUGAGAAGAAAAAUAAAAACAUAAAAGUGGAAACUUUUAGUCAAACAGAGGUAAUAAUAUAUUGAAAUCAUUGAUAAUUCAGAUACUAAUCAAUCUAUGUAAUGUUUAUGAGUUAAAAAUGAACAACAUACUGGAAAAGAGCCAAAAAUGUAAACUUAAACAUCAAAAUCAACCUCCUCAGAGUUUAUCCACACCACAUCAUACCAGUUCUAAUUAUCACCCAGAAUAAAGAAAUAACAAUUCUCAAAACACCAAACACAAAAAGGGGAAAUAUUUACAACAAUUUGACCGGAAUUUUACAUCAAGGGUAGACAUAAAUACAUCAAAACAGUCAACUACAUUCAUAAAGAGGCAAAUACAAGUUUUAAAAUUACAAGCAGUCAUUUUCUUAAAUGGGUACGAAAUUAAUCAAACACUUAGACAUUGCCAAGCCAUUCAAAAUUGUUUAGAAAUUGUCAAAAAUAACAACACCAUCAUUCGUGUAUUCAUGUAUAUAUCAAUGUAUUUAGAGAGAAUUGAAGAAAAAUAUUUGGCCCUAUAUUAAAUUACACAAAUUAAAGACUUUAGAACUCACAAUUUAAGGAACAAGAAGUAGUGAUAAGAUUCCAUCCUAGCUCGGAGUCGGAGAUGAGGUUCCGUCCAACUUUUGGUCCGACGUACGAUUAGGGCAGAAACAGAGAUGAAAAAUUGAGAUAUAGGGUUCUGACUUUUGGGUUAAGGGCUUAGGUUAGGGCAGAAACAGAGAUGAGAAAUCGAGAUCUGAGAAUCUGAGGGUCUGAGGAAUGAUCGGAUGAGAGAUCGGGAUGAGAGAUGUUAGAACUCAGACGAGAGAUGAGAGAUGAGAGAUGAGAGAUCGAGAGUUCGACUGUUAGAGAUCGAGAGAAAUCGGGGCUGAGAAAUGAAAUGAGAGUUGAGACUAAUUAGGACUAAUAGACU
rnacentral:lncRNA from 1 species